rnacentral:rRNA from 1 species
UGGGGAAUAUUGGACAAUGGGCGCAAGCCUGAUCCAGCAAUGCCGCGUGGGUGAAGAAGGUCUUCGGAUUGUAAAGCCCUUUCGGCGGGGACGAUGAUGACGGUACCCGCAGAAGAAGCCCCGGCUAACUUCGUGCCAGCAGCCGCGGUAAUACGAAGGGGGCUAGCGUUGCUCGGAAUGACUGGGCGUAAAGGGCGCGUAGGCGGAAUGCUUUGUCGGAUGUGAAAUUCCAGGGCUUAACCUUGGGGCUGCAUUCGAGACGGGUGUUCUAGAGUGGAGAAGAGGGUCGUGGAAUUCCCAGUGUAGAGGUGAAAUUCGUAGAUAUUGGGAAGAACACCGGUGGCGAAGGCGGCGACCUGGUCUUUUACUGACGCUGAGGCGCGAAAGCGUGGGGAGCAAACAGGAUUAGAUACCCUGGUAGUCCACGCUGUAAACGAUGUGCGCUGGAUGUUGGGUGGCCUAGCCAUUCAGUGUCGUAGCUAACGCGGUAAGCGCACCGCCUGGGGAGUACGGCCGCAAGGUUG